CCUACGGGUGGCAGCAGUGGGGAAUAUUGCACAAUGGGGGAAACCCUGAUGCAGCGACGCCGCGUGAAGGACGAAGUAUUUCGGUACGUAAACUUCUAUCAGCAGGGAAGAAAAUGACGGUACCUGACCAAGAAGCCCCGGCUAACUACGUGCCAGCAGCCGCGGUAAUACGUAGGGGGCAAGCGUUAGACGGAUUUACUGGGUGUAAAGGGAGCGUAGACGGCCAUGCAAGUCUGAUGUGAAACCCCGGGGCUCAACCCCGGGACUGCAUUGGACACUGGGCGGCUGGAGUGUCGGAGAGGCAAGUGGAAGUCCUAGUGGAGCGGUGAAAUGCGUAGAUAUUAGGAGGAACACCAGGGGCGAAGGCGGCUGGCUGGACGACGACGGACGUUGAGGCUCGAAAGCGUGGGGAGCAAACAGGAGGAGAUACCCCGGUAGUC
rnacentral:rRNA from 1 species